rnacentral:rRNA from 1 species
AGUGAACGCUGGCGGUAGGCCUAACACAUGCAAGUCGAACGGCAGCACAGUAAGAGCUUGCUCUUACGGGUGGCGAGUGGCGUACGGGUGAGGAAUACAUCGGAAUCUACUUUUUCGUGGGGGAUCACGUAGGGAAACUUACGCUAAUACCGCAUACGACCUACGGGUGAAAGCAGGGGAUCUUCUGACCUUGCGCGAUUGAAUGAGCCGAUGUCGGAUUAGCUAGUUGGCUGGGUAAAGGCCCACCAAGGCGACGAUCCGUAGCUGGUCUGAGAGGAUGAUAAGCCACACUGGAACUGGGACACGGUCCAUACUCCUACGGGAGGGAGCAGUGGGGAAUAUUGGGCAAAGGGCGCAAGCCUGAUCCAGCCAUACCGCGUGGGUGAAGAAGGCGUUCGGGUUGUGAAGCCCUUUUGUUGGGAAAGAAAAGCAGCAGGUUAAUACCACGCUGUUCUGACGGUAACCAAAGAAUAAGCACCGGCUAACUUCGUG